AUUUGCAUAGAAAUCCACCAAUUUUGAGUUUUUUUUGCAAAAUAGACUACUUUUUUGAAUUUUGCAGAUUAAAUCUGAAUUUUUAAUAAACUGACUAAAAUAUCUUUAUUUUCUUUUCUCUCUUUUUGCUCUCUCUCAUGUUCGUUUUUCUCCUUCCUCUUCGUAUUUCCUUUUCACCAUCCUUUCCUUUCUUUCUUCUCCCGCUUCCUCUCCCUCCUCCACUGCCCCCCACAUUGAUGCUGCACUCCUCUUUCCUACCUUGCUUAUACCUCUGACGCCAUCAGUAGCAGCAGCGAGAGUUCUGAUAUAGUACAAAUUGCGAAGGUAAGGUUGCAGUGGAGAGAGUGAACGGCCAUGGCGACAAAGGUGCCGCAUGAUUUGAGGAGGACAAAGAGAGAGCACUUUGGGGUUGGGAAGGCUAUUGCUGCAGAGGGCGACGAGGGAGGGGAGUGCAGUAGAGAAGAUGGAUGCAGAAAGUGGAAGAAAAAAAAGAAAGAAUAAAAAGAAAAAUAAAGAAAAUAUAUAAUUUUCUUUUUCUUGGAAGGCCAUUAUAUGCCACAGUCGUUAUAGGUAAGGUCAAAAAAUAUAGAAGAAGUUACAAUAUUUGAAACGAGUUACACUAUUUGAGACUAAAUUCGAUCAUUUAAAAUUAUUUAAGACUAAAUUGCACCACAUAAAAUAAAAAUCGCGCUGUUUGAAACUAAGUUGUAUUAUUUGAGACUUAAGUUAUAUUAUUUAAAACUAUUUGAGACUAAAAAUAACUUCUCAAACAAUGCAAUUUUUAUUUUUUGUGAUGUAACUUAGUCUCAAAUAGUUCUAAAUAGUGCAACUUAGCCUCAAACAGUGUAAUUUAUUCUCAAAUAAUGUAACUUUAUUUUAAAUAAUACAACUUCUUUCUUCUCUACUUGUUGACCUUUUAUGUAAUUCCUGCGAUGCUUGGUAGUCUUAUCAAGAGAAGAAAAAUAUUUUUUCUUUUUUUUCUUUUUUUUUUUCUUUUUCUUUUUCUUUCACCAUGUAUGCAUCCUUUUUCACUAUUGUGCCCUCUCCUUCGCCUUUGUCAUGGCAGUCGCUCCCGCCGCGACGGGCUCUCUCUCCCCGUCCUCUUCAAAUCUUAUGUCAAUCUUAUGUCACCAUCGUCACCGUCACCAUCGACAAUCAUACCCUCCAUCGAAGCUUCACCUUCGCGAUACGUGCCAUCCUUCAUAUACCACUUCGGAAGUGUUUGACUUUUUCGAAAAAUAUCCUCGAAAAUAAUUUCCUGACUAAAAAAAUAUUUUCCAAUCAUUUAGUUCCUGAAGAAAAAUUCAGAAUUUUCUUUUCAGGUUUUCAUAAAAUUAGUAUAUUUAUAUUUUCAAUUUUUUACCUGACAAAUUAAAAAGAUGAAAAAUAAUGUUUUCCAUAAAAAAAAAAAUUCUUCAAAAAUACUUUUCUACCCUUUUCCAGGAAACCAACACCUAUAUGUGCCAUGAAAAAGCAUCAUAAAAGUUUACAUUAACAGCACAGACGAAAGAAAAAAAAAAAAAAAAAAUUAUGCUNAUUUUAUUUUUUAUUUUCAUUCCAAUCGUGAAUUACACAUGCUCUUACCGUAAUGCUAGUUACUAACAAUAAUCCAACAAAGGUAUAAAUAGAGAUUAUGUAACGGCUUUCCAAAGGAAAAAUAUUUUGACUUUACUAAUAUUUCAAUAUUUGUUAUAGCAGGGACAGUUCAAAGAAAUUGUAGAAUAUUUAUAUUAGCUAACAGCAUAUUUUUUUAAAGAUUACUGGGUGUUAGUCAAAAGGACCAACAAGUUUUAAAAGAGCCAAUUUGCAUAGAAAUCCACCAAUUUUGAGUUUUUUUUUGCAAAAUAGACUACCUUUUUUGAAUUUUGCAGAUUAAAUCUGAAUUUUUAAUAAACUGGCCAAAAUAUCUUUAUUUUUUUUUCUCUCUUUUUGCUCUCUCUCAUGUUCGUUUUUCUCCUUCCUCUUCGUAUUUCCUUUUCACCAUCCUUUCCUUUCUUUCUUCUCCCGCUUCCUCUCCCUCCUCCACUGCCCCCCACAUUGAUGCUGCACUCCUCUUUCCUACCUUGCUUAUACCUUUGACGCCAUCGGUAGCAGCAGCGAGAGUUCUGAUAUAGUACAAAUUGC
rnacentral:lncRNA from 1 species